GUNAACCCAUGUCGUGAGGGAUUCAUUUAUU
rnacentral:rRNA from 1 species